GAUGAACGCUAGCGGCAGGCCUAAUACAUGCAAGUCGAGGGGCAUCAGGUUUCGUAGCAAUACGAGAUGCUGGCGACCGGCAAACGGGUGCGUAACACGUACACAACCUACCUUAUAGAGGGGGAUAGCCCAUAGAAAUGUGGAUUAAUACCGCGUAUUAUAUUGAGAAGGCAUCUUUUGAUAUUAAAGAUUUAUUGCUAUAAGAUGGGUGUGCGUAUGAUUAGGUAGUUGGUAGGGUAACGGCCUACCAAGCCUACGAUCAUUAGCUGAUGUGAGAGCAUGAUCAGCCACACGGGCACUGAGAAACGGGCCCGACUCCUACGGGAGGCAGCAGUAAGGAAUAUUGGACAAUGGACGGAAGUCUGAUCCAGCCAUGCCGCGUGAAGGAGGAAGGUCCUCUGGAUUGUAAACUUCUUUUAUAGGGGGCGAAAACGGGUUUUUUUAGACCACUUGACGGUACCCUAUGAAUAAGCACCGGCUAACUCCGUGCCAGCAGCCGCCGCCG
rnacentral:rRNA from 1 species